UACGGAGGGGGCAAGCGUUGUUCGGAAUUACUGGGCGUAAAGCGCACGCAGGCGGUUGGAUAAGUUAGAUGUGAAAGCCCCGGGCUCAACCUGGGAAUUGCAUUUAAAACUGUCCGGCUAGAGUCUUGUAGAGGGGGGUAGAAUUCCAGGUGUAGCGGUGAAAUGCGUAGAGAUCUGGAGGAAUACAGGUGGCGAAGGCGGCCCCCUGGACAAAGACUGACGCUCAGGUGCGAAAGCGUGGGGAGCAAACAGG
rnacentral:rRNA from 1 species